rnacentral:rRNA from 1 species
AGACGAACCGUCCAAACGUUAUUCGGAAUCACUGGGCUUAAAGGGUGCGUAGGUGGCUUGGCAAGUUGGGUGUGAAAGCCCUCGGCUCAACCGAGAAACUGCGUUCUAAACUGGAUGGCUUGAGUGCGAUAGGGGUGUACGGAACUGCUGGUGGAGCGGUGAAAUGUGUUGAGAUCAGCAGGAACGCCGGUGGCGAAAGCGGUACACUGGGUCGUUACUGACGCUGAGGCACGAAAGCUAGGGUAGCGAACGGGAUUAGAAACCCCAGUAGUCC